UUGGAAACCCUUGGAGUGAGAAAAUCUCAAACAUUGAGGGAGUGCUUUUGAAAUCGUGAAGUUGUUUGAAGAUUGGAGCUCAAAAUCUCAAACAUUGAGGGAGUGCUUUUGAAAUCGUGAAGUUGUUCGAAGAUUGGAGCUCAAAAUCUCAAACAUUGAGGGAGUGCUUUUGAAAUCGUGAAGUUGUUCGAAGAUUGGAGCUCCCUAGCUGAUUGUAGGCCUUGUAGCAAUUAAUUAGGAUAAUUUCUUCGGUGGUUGGAGGCUGACUAUUGGAAAGGAUGGGCGAUAUCAAUGUAUUAAAUCAUACUAAGAGGAAAGUCUUAAGCAAGGAAGUCUUUAUGGAUGAUACUUUAAGCAUUGGUGGUAUAGUGAAAGCAAAGGGUGAAGUUAUAAAGCAACAAUGUAAUAUUUUC